AAGAAACCCACGAAGAGAGAAAUCACAAAACUGGGUGAGCAGUUGGAGCAGAAAACUACAGAUUUAUAAUGGACAAAAGUUUAAGAAUUGUUCAGUAAGUUCAUGAAUCCACUCUGUUUAUCCUGGCUGGUUUUUGCUGGAUUUUCUUCUGUGGACAGAACUGCUGCCUUCCCCUGGGACGCCGUCCUCAGGACAGACCAGGAUGUUCAUCUUUUCCAUGGAUGGAGGGAGGAUCUGGAUCAGUGGAACUGAAGUCAUCACAAGGCUCAACGACAGCGUCAGCCAAUCAGCUAUCAGCAACCAGGGCCCACAGGAACCCAGUGUGGUUUGGUUCUUUCCAUCUGUGAUAUGGAUCAGAACAGUGAAGAGCGUGUGACGUAGAAGCCCAACCACAGCAGAGGAGAUGAGGAGAUAAGAAUGAGGAGGAGCUGACAGGUGUCAUGAGGAAACACAGAGACAGAGCAGAGACGAGCAGAGCAUGAGAGUGGACAUGGAGCACACACUGGUGGUCAUCUGGAUGUCCUUCUGGAUUCAAGGGCUCCUGUCUGAAAACAACAGCACUUCAACAGGUAAGAAAUGCACAAAGGAGGGAUGU